rnacentral:rRNA from 1 species
CGCCUCCUGACCCCAUAGGAGGUCCAGCCUGCCCAGUGACAAAGUUAAACGGCCGCGGUACCCUAACCGUGCGAAGGUAGCGCAAUCACUUGUUCUUUAAAUGAGGACUAGUAUGAAUGGCAUCACGAGGGUUUCACUGUCUCCCCCUUUUAAUCAAUGAAACUGAUCUUCCCGUGAAGAAGCGGGAAUAAACAUAUAAGACGAGAAGACCCCAUGGAGCUUUAAACCCAGUAUCAACUACACUUACUACACCACACAAGAUUAGUAGACGUGACACCUGGUUUUCGGUUGGGGUGACCACGGAGCAAAACAAAACCUCCAUGAUGAAAGGAAUCUAUUCCUAAUCUAAGAGCCACAGCUCAAAGAAUCAACAAACUGACAUUAAUUGACCCAAAUAUUUUGAUCAACGAACCAAGUUACCCUGGGGAUAACAGCGCAAUCCAUUUCAAGAGCUCCUAUCGACAAAUGGGUUUACGACCUCGAUGUUGGAUCAGGGUAUCCCAGUGGUGCAGCCGCUACUAAAGGUUCGUUUGUUCAACGAUUAAAACCCU